rnacentral:rRNA from 1 species
AUUGAACGCUGGCGGCAGGCCUAACACAUGCAAGUCGAACGAGUGGCGGACGGGUGAGUAAUGUCUGGGAAACUGCCUGAUGGAGGGGGAAAACUAAUGGAAACGGUAGCUAAUACCGAAUACCCUAAGAUGUGCGCAGAUGGGGUUGGCGAGUUGGUGGGGUAACGGCUCACCAAGGCGACGAUCCCUAGCUGGUCUGAGAGGAUUACCAGCCACACUGGAACUGAGACACGGUCCAGAAUCCUACGGGAGGCAGCAGUGGGUAAUAUUGCACAAUGGGCGCAAGCCUGAUGCAGCCAUGCCGCGUGUAUGAAGAAGGCCUUCGGGUUGUAAAGUACUUUCAGCGGGGAGGCGUUACCCGCAGAAGAAGCACCGGCUAACUCCGUGCCAGCAGCCGCGGUAAUUC